rnacentral:misc_RNA from 1 species
GCAAAUUGAUUCGGGUCCGACGGGUGUGCAGCGAUCACAAGUGGGUACACAGUGGAGCUGAUGUUAGCGGGGAGAUAAGCAGCUGGAUUAAUCCGACACCGCAUUCUCAGAUUUGCAGCAGUAAAAACUAAUACAGCAGCAUCCAUAAAGCUAACAUAUAUCGACUGGCUGUCACAAGAGAAUGUGGCAUGCGAGAUUGGAGCCGAGGAUUCGCGCGGGGUCCACUGUUUUACACACUCUAACUUAUUUGUUUCGUAGAUAGCAAUCUGGGUCUCAUGAACCACAAGGAAAUGUAUCUGAUCCUGAUGAAAUUGGACACGUGUAUCUGAAACUGAGCUAGGAUUACGCCCAGGUGGAAUCGGCAAUGAUUUACUCCUCUGCUUAUCCCACCCAUCUGUUCCCCACACACAAAUCUGAGCAUCAGCUCCAGAUGACACCAGCACAUUCAAUACAUGUGAGAAUGCAAGACCAGUUAUUCUCUUUGAGUGUCCUCUGAGCUUGCUUUUAACCUCGUCAACCCUGA